rnacentral:lncRNA from 1 species
CCUCUCGGUGCCUCGGGCGAGGCCUGGGCCGGCGCGGUCGAGUCGGGCAGUUAGUUUCCUGCUGUGUUUCUUUAUUUUCCUUUUCUGUGUAUGGGCAAGGAGGGCUUCUGCAGAAAUCAGAGCAGAGAGUUUCUGGCUGAGCACACAGCACUUUUCAGACUUCCAUCCCAGAAGUGACAAAGAACGCACAGGAGGCCCAUGGGGCGAAUAUGUCCCUGUCGUCUUCUGCUGGACCCUGCAUUUCACUUCUGUGUGUACUUAGCACCAUCUCCGAGUCUGUUCCCUCUCCGGGCUGAGCAGAUUCCUCCUGUCUCUGGCUUCAGAUAACCAGCAGUGGUUCGUCCAGUCUUCUGCAAGGAGAAUGCGGCCCAGCUCUGCAUUCUUCCCCGCUUACAGCUUAAAUUGAAAACAGCUCUUAGAGAUCAGCAAAGUCGUAACUGCAUCGCCUCCUCUCCUACGUGUC